GACGAACGCUGGCGGCGUGCUUAACACAUGCAAGUCGAACGGUGAAGCGCCUUCCUUUUUGGUGGGUGUGGAUGAGUGGCGAACGGGUGAGUAACACGUGAGUAACCUGCCCCCUUCUUCUGGAUAACCGCAUGAAAGUGUGGCUAAUACGGGAUAUUCUGGUUCUGUCGCAUGAUGGGUCUGUGAAAGAUAUUGUUUCGGUGGGGGAUGGGCUCGCGGCCUAUCAGCUUGUUGGUGGGGUGAGGGCCUACCAAGGCGGUGACGGGUAGCCGGCCUGGGAGGGUGGACGGUCACACUGGGACUGAGACACGGCCGAGACUCCUACGGGAGGCAGAAGUGGGGAAGAUUGCACAGUGGGCGCAAGCGUGAUGCAGCGACGCCGCGUGAGGGAUGGAGGCCUUCGGGUUGUGAACCUCUUUCGCCAGUGAAGCAGGCCUGCCUGGUUUGUGGGUGGGUUGACGGUAGCUGGAUAAGAAGCGCCGGCUAACUACGUG
rnacentral:rRNA from 1 species